GGGUCGCUAGCUCAGCUGGAAGAGCACCGGACUUUUAAUCCGAGGGUCACAGGUUCGAGUCCUGUGCGACCCACCC
rnacentral:tRNA from 1 species